UUUCGCCAUCUCUCUUUUAUUUGGACGUUCCACAUGUUGAAGAAUCAGUGCAAGUAAAUUCCUAAUGUAUACGCUCGUACUGUUCAAAAUCCGGCGAAAAACCCAGUUCUAAGUGUAGAGCGAGUGUGAACGUUGCAUAAUCCGGUGGAGGAUCACGCGAAGAGGCGCCGCGGAGACGGAAAAGCGCGAGGGAAAAGAGGUUGAAUAAUUCCUCGUGGGAAGUGGAGAAUAGCCAUUGGGGCCCCGUUUGUCUGCCGUGUGCCAGAGUGAGACGGCGCGAGAGUACUCUCUUCAAGAACGCCAUUUUGCCACGAAACCCUUUUUUUACACGACCCGGAGAGAGACACUCUCCUGUGCACAGCGCGACUGAGGUGUCCAGGAGAUUAUCCAGUGUGUGUUCACCCGGAGUGUGUGCGGUUCGGUUGAUUGAGAAGGAAUCAUAGGCAUCCCAGGGACAGCGAAAAUGUCGAACGAGGAGACGUCCGCUGAUCGCAAUGUGGAGAUCUGGAAGAUUAAGAAGCUCAUCAAGAGUCUGGAGAUGGCCAGAGGGAACGGCACCAGCAUGAUAUCGCUGAUCAUCCCGCCCAAGGAUCAAAUCUCGCGCGUGAGCAAGAUGUUGGCUGAUGAAUUUGGCACGGCGUCCAAUAUCAAGUCACGCGUGAAUCGACUGUCCGUGUUGGGUGCCAUCACAUCAGUGCAGCAUAGACUUAAAUUGUACACCAAAGUGCCUCCAAAUGGUCUCGUGAUCUACUGUGGAACGAUUGUGACGGAGGAGGGCAAGGAGAAGAAGGUGAACAUUGAUUUUGAGCCAUUCAAGCCGAUCAAUACCUCGCUAUACCUCUGCGACAACAAAUUCCACACGGAGGCACUCACGGCCCUCCUGGCGGAUGACAAUAAAUUCGGUUUCAUCGUGAUGGACGGCAAUGGAGCGCUAUUUGGCACGCUGCAGGGCAACACGCGCGAGGUGCUGCACAAGUUCACGGUGGAUCUGCCGAAGAAGCACGGCCGCGGUGGACAGUCGGCGCUGCGUUUCGCCCGGUUGCGCAUGGAGAAGCGGCACAACUACGUGCGGAAGGUGGCCGAGGUGGCCAUUCAGCUGUACAUCACGAUUGACAAGCCAAAUAUCGCCGGACUCAUCCUGGCUGGUAGUGCCGACUUCAAGACCGAGCUCAGCCAAUCCGACAUGUUCGACAGUCGACUGGCCACGCGAAUCAUCAAACUUGUGGACGUGUCGUAUGGCGGUGAGAAUGGAUUCAAUCAGGCAAUCGAACUGGCUGCAGAGUCCCUGGCCAAUGUGAAGUUCAUCCAGGAGAAGAAACUCAUUGGACGAUACUUCGACGAGAUAUCACAGGACACUGGCAAGUACUGUUUUGGCGUUGAGGAUACUCUGAAGGCCCUCGAAUUGGGCGCCGUAGAAAUACUAAUUUGCUGGGAGAAUCUGGAUAUUCAGCGGUAUGUGUUGAAGAAUCAUGCAAACUCCACGUCAACAACAGUAUUGCAUUUGACGCCGGAACAGGAAAAGGAUAAAUCUCAUUUUACUGACAAGGAAAGUGGAGUGGAGAUGGAGCUCGUGGAGGCACAACCGCUGCUGGAGUGGUUGGCCAAUAACUACAAGAGCUUUGGUGCUACGCUCGAAAUUAUCACGGACAAGUCGCAAGAGGGAAGUCAAUUUGUUCGAGGAUUUGGCGGGAUUGGAGGCAUAUUGCGCUAUAAAGUUGAUUUCCAAUCACUCCAAGCGGAUGAGCCACUCGAUGAUGUGGAUCUCGAUGACUAUUAAGAAAAACACACAAACAGACACACACACACACUGACAUAAUAAUAUAAAAGAAAAACUAUCGAAAAGUAUCUCUGAAUUAGGUCUACUGCAAAAUGAUGAUUAAAAAAAAAUUGUAUUGAACCAUCCAGUGUCUCUCGAUUCUGAGAGGGCAGAGAAAGAGUUGAUAAGCUAUCUUUAAAAAAGAAGAAGAAGAAGAAGAAAUGGUGGCUGAGAGGAAAAGGAAAUGUUAGAUAAGAGAAAAAGACAGUAAUUAAGCGACAAAUUAAUUUAACGCGACUUUUCGAUUGAUUUGCAUAAAUAAUAAGAUGGUUUUUCCUUGAGUUUGAGUGUGUGUACAUUUUCUUUCUUAAAAACGAAAAAAAUAAGAAUGCAAAAGGGGAAAGUAUUCAUCUUGUUUGCAACUUUGUUAAGGUAUUUUGCGCUACAAAGUAGACUUCCAGAGUAUGCAACUAGAUGAUAUGGAUACUGAACUCUUCGAUUUAGAUGAUUACUAAGAAUGGAAAAGAAAUCGCUGUGAGGAUAUAUUGCGACACAACGUGAAAAAGAGAGAGAGGAUUUAAAUGCGGAAAGGAAGUAAGGAAGAUAAAAAGCAACACUUUGGAUUGCGAUUUGUGAAUAUGAAUCAUUUGUGUUAUCAACGUAUAAAACAGAUAUGAUUUUUCUGCUGUCUGAAGAGAGAGAGAAAGUUCGUUUUAGGCAAAAGUAUGUAGAGAAAUUGUGGUGAAACAUUUGUGUGUGAAGAGGAUGAAAAAAAAAAUGUGUGAGAGAAUCAUUAAAGAAAAAAGAAAAACACAAGAAAAUUAUACUUACAAUACGUACGCUCUGAAGAAUUCUACUUAUCGCUCAGCAUAUUUCGAAAGUCACCCUUAUUUUGCAUUGAGUGCAAUAAUAUUAAAAAAAAAUGUUUUACUAUCAUCCCCAGAUUUUUAAGAAAAUGUUCAUAUUUUUAAAUGUUCCUCCCCCCCCUUUUUUAGGCACCACAGAGAGAAAACAAUGCAGAGCUUUUCACUUAAUGAAAGAAAAAAAAACCGAAUCGUUCUCUUAUCACCUCUGUAUAAAGUUAUAUGAAACAGAAAAAUAGAAACAAUAUAAUACGAAUUGACAAAAGCGAAAAGUAUGAUUUUGUAAAUAAAUGUGGAAUAUUAUAUACAAGUAUAAUGAUUAUAAAUGAAGUAAAUCAAGAUAAAGUGAAAGGAGAAAGCACACAAUUCGAUUGCGAACAUUUUCCCAGCCACAAUAAUAAUAAUAAUAUUUUGUUAUUUAACGAAAAGUGCUAAAAACAUGAAUUAAUUGACGAGAUGUGGAGAGUGAGGAGAGAAACUAUAAAAAAAAACAGCGUAGUUCGUCAGUGAAGAGGAAAAAUCCACUAAUUGAAGCUGAUUUAAUAUGUUAUUGAACAGAAAUCUGAUGUGUGUAACAUUUAAAAGAAGCAAACUAUUUACAUUUAAUUUGUGUGGCAGCAGCAAUUUGGUAAGAAAAAGAAAUGAAGAAACAGAAUAAACGGUCAUUUAUACAGAAAA